CUCUUUCAUUCCCGCACCCCCCAUCUAGGGUUGGGGACAGCACGCCGCGCCGCCGUCCAGAGCUCCCCCGCGGCGCCUCCCUGUGCCGCUGUCCGGGCCACCCCGCGCCUCCGUCCGGCACAUGCCCGAGCCACCGGCCCUCCCCUCGCCUCUCCGCGCCGCCGUUGGGGGCUCCCUGCGCCGCCUUCCGGGCCACCCCGCACCUCCGUUCGGGUCUCCUGCGCCGCUGUUCGGGGCACCCCGCGCAGCGUCAGGCGGAGCCACCGGCGGAGCCACGGUCUUCCCUCCAGCGUCCAUCCCCUUCGGCUGCCUUCUCUCCGGUUACUGGAUGAAGAGAUAGAGGCAGGCCUUUUCGUGGCAGAGGAUGGAUUGGCAGGGGGAAGCUCACGGAGAUGCUGAUGUAGGUGCUGCAUGUGGCGUCGGCCGUGGCGGCGUUCCUGGCGGGCUACGUGCGCGGGGACUUCCAGCUCAUGCUGCUCGUCUAUGCCGCCGGCGUCGUGCUCACGAUGCUCGUCACCAUCCCCAACUGGCCCUUCUUCAACCGCAACCUGCUCAAGUGGCUUGACGCCGCCGAUGCCGAGCGCCACCCGCGCCUGCAGGUCGGCGCCACCGGCGCGGGAGCAGGGGGUAAGAAGAAGUCCGGGAAGAACAAGUAAUUGGUCUUUCAAAGAUGAGCAACAAGAUGGGGAUAUGUGGUGCAGUAGACAAUUGUAGAGUUCUUGAACAAAGUGAUGGUCGAGGUGGUGAAGCCAGUGCCGUGCUAUGGCUUCGAUCGUGGCCCAAAGCUGAUUGUAUUAUUUAAAUGAGACUUCAGUUCACAAUGUUUCGUUAUUGAUGUCAUCACUAUUUUGAAAGGGAUGUUAGAUUGAAUAAUGGAUUGAUUUAUUAAUAAUAUAUAUAUAUGUGUGUUGCAGCAAUUUAUA